GUCAGUUGCAUCACAUAUUACUUGUGUGUUUUAGUUUGGCACGAGUGAGGUAUCCAAAGACCUCAUUCAAACAUUGCACAAAGACAUGGUGGGUGUCAUAGAACGACUGGACAAGAUCAUCAGUCUUUGGAUUCUGCAGAAAGAGACAAACCCAAGCAAGAGAAAGAAGAAAUAGAUGCUUGUGAGACUCCAGAAAGAGAAUUGUUUAUUGGUGAUUCAAGCCUUAACGUGAUGGCCAACAAGUUGGCUGUUACCAGGUCCACCAUGAAGGCUGGUUGGAGGUCUCUGUUAGCCCUCAAUCAUGUGGAUAUCUUGUUUGAUCAGGAUUGCUUAAGCCGUUCGACUGCGUGUGGGUCUAUAGACUCCUUAAAGAGGCACUAGACCCUAGGAAGAUCAAAGCCAUAAGAAGCCAUUGUUUUCAAAAGUUCCCAAUACACGAGGGAGGGACAGAAAAGGAGGCAUGGCAGAACAUGACACAGGCCAUCACAGACAAGUGUUUGCUAGUUGCCAAAAGCUGUAAAGCAAAUUAGAAUUAUUUAUUUUUGAGUUAGACUAUAACAGGGUCGAUUAAUUUCAAGAUGAUAGCAUUUGCAGAUCUUGAUUAUGGAGUUAUUGUAACUUUGAAUAUAGCAUCAAGGCUUUUUCU